UACGUAGGGGGCGAGCGUUAUCCGAAGUUACUGGGCGUAAAGCGCGCGUAGGCGGUCUAUUAAGUCUGAGGUGAAAGGUUCAACGCUCAACGUGAACAGUGCCUUGGAUACUGGUAGACUUGAGUGUGGCAGAGGAGUAUGGAAUUCCUGGUGUAGCGGUGAAAUGCGCAGAUAUCAGGAGGAACACCAAUAGCGAAGGCAGCUCGCUGGGACGGUACUGACGCUAAGGCGCGAAAGCGUGGGGAGCGAACAGG
rnacentral:rRNA from 1 species